UCCUGGAUAGUUAAAUGGUUAUAACACAUGAAACCCAUGUAUUUGCCGGUUCGAAUCCGCAUUCAGGAU
rnacentral:tRNA from 1 species